rnacentral:rRNA from 1 species
CAGCAGCCACGGUAAUACCGAGGGUGCGAGCGUUAAUCGGAUUUACUGGGCGUAAAGCGUGCGUAUGCGGCUUUUUAAGUCGGAUGUGAAAUCCCUGAGCUUAACUUAGGAAUUGCAUUCGAUACUGGGAAGCUAGAGUAUGGGAGAGGAUGGUAGAAUUCCAGGUGUAGCGGUGAAAUGCGUAGAGAUCUGGAGGAAUACCGAUGGCGAAGGCAGCCAUCUGGCCUAAUACUGACGCUGAGGUACGAAAGCAUGGGGAGCAAACAGGAUUAGAUACCCCGGUAGUCCCUGUCUCUUAUAC